UACGUAGGGUGCGAGCGUUGUCCGGAAUUAUUGGGCGUAAAGGGCUCGUAGGCGGUCUGUCGCGUCGGGAGUGAAAACUCAGGGCUUAACCCUGAGCCUGCUUCCGAUACGGGCAGACUAGAGGUAUGCAGGGGAGAACGGAAUUCCUGGUGUAGCGGUGAAAUGCGCAGAUAUCAGGAGGAACACCGGUGGCGAAGGCGGGUCUCUGGGCCAAAACUGACGCUGAGGAGCGAAAGCGUGGGGAGCGAACAGG
rnacentral:rRNA from 1 species